rnacentral:rRNA from 1 species
CCGCGGCCUAUCAGCUUGUUGGUGAGGUAACGGCUCACCAAGGCGACGACGGGUAGCCGGCCUGAGAGGGCGACCGGCCACACUGGGACUGAGACACGGCCCAGACUCCUACGGGAGGCAGCAGUGGGGAAUAUUGCACAAUGGGCGAAAGCCUGAUGCAGCGACGCCGCGUGAGGGAUGACGGCCUUCGGGUUGUAAACCUCUUUCAGCAGGGAAGAAGCGAAAGUGACGGUACCUGCAGAAGAAGCGCCGGCUAACUACGUGCCAGC